GACGAACGCUGGCGGCGUGCUUAACACAUGCAAGUCGAACGGUAAGGCUCCAGCUUGCUGGGGUACACGAGUGGCGAACGGGUGAGUAACACGUGGGUGACCUGCCCUGCACUUCGGGAUAAGCCUGGGAAACUGGGUCUAAUACCGGAUAGGACUGCACCGUGAGGGUGUGGUGGAAAGUUUUUUCGGUGUGGGAUGGGCCCGCGGCCUAUCAGCUUGUUGGUGGGGUAAUGGCCUACCAAGGCGGCGACGGGUAGCCGGCCUGAGAGGGUGGACGGCCACAUUGGGACUGAGACACGGCCCAGACUCCUACGGGAGGCAGCAGUGGGGAAUAUUGCACAAUGGGCGGAAGCCUGAUGCAGCGACGCCGCGUGGGGGAUGACGGCCUUCGGGUUGUAAACUCCUUUCACCAUCGACGAAGGGUUUCUGACGGUAGAUGGAGAAGAAGCACCGGCUAACUACGUGCCAGCAGCCGCGGUAAUACGUAGGGUGCGAGCGUUGUCCGGAAUUACUGGGCGUAAAGAGCUCGUAGGUGGUUUGUCGCGUCGUCUGUGAAAUUCCGGGGCUUAACUCCGGGCGUGCAGGCGAUACGGGCAUAACUUGAGUACUGUAGGGGAGACUGGAAUUCCUGGUGUAGCGGUGAAAUGCGCAGAUAUCAGGAGGAACACCGGUGGCGAAGGCGGGUCUCUGGGCAGUAACUGACGCUGAGGAGCGAAAGCAUGGGGAGCGAACAGGAUUAGAUACCCUGGUAGUCCAUGCCGUAAACGGUGGGCGCUAGGUGUGGGUUUCCUUCCACGGGAUCCGUGCCGUAGCUAACGCAUUAAGCGCCCCGCCUGGGGAGUACGGCCGCAAGGCUAAAACUCAAAGGAAUUGACGGGGGCCCGCACAAGCGGCGGAGCAUGUGGAUUAAUUCGAUGCAACGCGAAGAACCUUACCUGGGCUUGACAUAUACAGGAUCGCGCCAGAGAUGGUGUUUCCCUUGUGGCUUGUAUACAGGUGGUGCAUGGUUGUCGUCAGCUCGUGUCGUGAGAUGUUGGGUUAAGUCCCGCAACGAGCGCAACCCUUGUCUUAUGUUGCCAGCACGUUGUGGUGGGGACUCGUAAGAAACUGCCGGGGUUAACUCGGAGGAAGGUGGGGAUGACGUCAAAUCAUCAUGCCCCUUAUGUCCAGGGCUUCACACAUGCUACAAUGGUCGGUACAGUGGGUUGCCAGUCCGUGAGGGCGAGCUAAUCCCGCAAAGCCGGUCUCAGUUCGGAUCGGGGUCUGCAACUCGACCCCGUGAAGUCGGAGUCGCUAGUAAUCGCAGAUCAGCAACGCUGCGGUGAAUACGUUCCCGGGCC
rnacentral:rRNA from 1 species